CGGGGGCGGGAUGUGGGUCAGGGCCGAAGGUCACGGUGGCUGCUGUCUGCCUGCGCAGGAAGUCCGGGCUCGGCACAGCUCCCUACGUCUGGGGGUGGCUGCGGUCCCACAGCCCUGGGGCAGUUUUCCGAGAGGCUGCUGGUAGGGCCGCCCCGGCCUCCUGCCCCGGCCUCCACCGGACACAACAACUCAGAUGAUGUGGGGGUGUAACAUCUGAUUUCUCUGGGAAGGGACCCAUCAGGGGGUGGGACAGGUCAACCAGGGAGCUGAGCCUGAAAUGGGGAGAAGGAGCUGUCGGUGGGGGGGUGGGGGGAGGAUAGAGGAAGCAGCCACCUGUGAUUAGGGAAGAGCGAGGAGGCUGGUGAGCCAGUGACCAGAGCAGACCUCACCCGUGCCUCAGUGGAGCCGCGCACGGACCGGGCGUGGUCAGGGAGUAGCAGAAGGGACACAGGGCACUGCAGGAGCCCGGUAAGGGCCUGGCCCAGCCCCGGGGGGGGACACCGGGCACGGGCUCCCGAGGACAGCUGGGAGGUGGAGCCCAGCUGGGUGGCUGGAGGAAGGUCGCAGGCACCGUGGCGGACUGUGCAAAGGCCCUGGGGCCAGGAGGAAAGAACAUAGAGUCGGAGAGGGGAGGUGCCAGGCAGGACACGUCCAGGUUCCCCAGAGGGCUGGUGCCUUAGCUGGGAGGUAGGCCAGAGGUCUGGGUUCGAAUGCUGCUCUGCCAUGUAACGGGGGUGUCGGGUGAGUCGCAAAACUCUCCCGGGCCUCGCCUCCUCUCCGCGCUGGGGUCUCCGCCAGACACCAUCGUUGAGUGCGGGCACUGCUGCUCAGCCCCCAGCUGCUCAGCUCCCCGUGCCCCCCACCUCUGGCCUCCAAGAUGCCAGCCCGCCCCCCACGGACAUCCCAGCACGGGUGGGAGAAGCCAUCGGGGCACGGGGACUUACUUGGCUGAGGCCACACACCGCAGCCGCUAGCCGCCACCGAAGCUGGGACCCAGUCUCGGGGCAGUGAAGCUCUGCAGGCCUCAGCACGAGAGGCCACUCUGUUUACAGCGCCACCCUCGGAAAGCGUAGGUGGCGAGGGACCUUCUGCACACCUGCCAGCUCACCUGCGACACGGGCACGGCUCACCUGCCUUCCCUGGCAGGGCCCAAGGGACACGUGCCCACCUUGGCCACCCACGUUCACAUCCCUGGGUGGCCCAGGUGGGCCAGAAGCCCGAGGCUCAGGGUCCGGACGGCAAAGGCGGGAGCAGGCAGGGGAAGUGGGCGGCCUGGCGUCAAGGCCAUCCCUCUGUACGGUGCCCUGAAAAGGCUGUGUGACCUCAAGCCAGUUGCUCAACCUCUCUGAACCUUUUCCUCAAAAUGUGGCAGUCCGAUGUUGGGGGACGAGGAUGCCCCAGGGAGGUACCUGAAAAAUCCUCGACUGUGAGUCCUCGGGGACACACUCCCGCGCCCGAGGCGCACCACGUGGGGCAGCCCCCACCUGCGCCCUCCCUUCCUCCUGGGACCACGGGCUCGCCCUCUGUGAGCCCCCACAUUCCACUUCCCGCCACCAAACGGCAAAAUAAAAGCUCCCACGAAGCGCCAGCUGCAA